rnacentral:rRNA from 1 species
GGCUCGCAGGCGGUUUCUUAAGUCUGAUGUGAAAGCCCCCGGCUCAACCGGGGAGGGUCAUUGGAAACUGGGGAACUUGAGUGCAGAAGAGGAGAGUGGAAUUCCACGUGUAGCGGUGAAAUGCGUAGAGAUGUGGAGGAACACCAGNUGGCGAAGGCGACUCUCUGGUCUGUAACUGACGCUGAGGAGCGAAAGCGUGGGGAGCGAACAGGAUUAGAUACCCUGGUAGUCCACGCCGUAAACGAUGAGUGCUAAGUGUUAGGGGGUUUCCGCCCCUUAGUGCUGCAGCUAACGCAUUAAGCACUCCGCCUGGGGAGUACGGUCGCAAGACUGAAACUCAAAGGAAUUGACGGGGGCCCGCACAAGCGGUGGAGCAUGUGGUUUAAUUCAAAGCAACGCGAAAAACCUUACCAGGUCUUGACAUCCUCUGACAAUCCUAGAGAUAGGACGUCCCCUUCGGGGGCAGAGUGACAGGUGGUGCAUGGUUGUCGUCAGCUCGUGUCGUGAGAUGUUGGGUUAAGUCCCGCAACGAGCGCAACCCUUGAUCUUAGUUGCCAGCAUUCAGUUGGGCACUCUAAGGUGACUGCCGGUGACAAACCGGAGGAAGGUGGGGAUGACGUCAAAUCAAUCAUGCCCCUUUAUGACCUGGGCUACACACGUGCUACAAUGGACAGAACAAAGGGCAGCGAAACCGCGAGGUUAAGCCAAUCCCACAAAUCUGUUCUCAGUUCGGAUCGCAGUCUGCAACUCGACUGCGUGAAGCUGGAAUCGCUAGUAAUCGCGGAUCAGCAUGCCGC